CUCACAAAACAUUUUUCGCCGGUACAAAACCGAAAUCACAAAGCCUUUCAAACUGAAAUCUAAAUCCAAACAUAUUUUGAAGUGAUACAAUCAUGGAGUGUAAAGAAACUCAACAAGCAUAUUCAAAACAAACAAUAAUAAAAAACGCGUAACCAAAUCAUUACCUAUGCAAAAGAGAUCGGAUUUGGGUGACUACAGUGGAGACUUAGGCGAGGAUGCCCUCACCCCAAUAGCCAACGUUUGAUGCUAGAAAAAUGAAGAAUGGAUUGAGCUCGAAGAUUGUUGUUGUUGCCGGAAAAAUGUCGAGUUGUGAUGCGGUUCCGGUUGUAGCCUUUCUGGUUGUAACAAGGGAGACAACAGAGAGUUUAAGGGAUUUGUGGUUUUUUACAGCUGAAGCAUGGGGGAGUAUGGAGGGUUAUUUUUCUGCGCGAACAGUGUUGCAAAGAGAGAUUUCGAAAAUGUCUUUCUCCUCUCCUUUUUUUUUAAUCGUGGCCGCCAAUCUUCUCCUCAUGAAGAAGAGAGUGUUCUUGCUUUCAUAUUCACUGGCUAGGGUUUGAAAUUAGUCACUGAGAUCAAAAGAGUAUUGAAAUUGGAAGUGCUUUCUUGUGCUUAUUCUUGGUGCUUAUUCUGAAAAAGGUACUUGUGGUGUUUCCGCUCGCGUCCGUCUCAUACCAGCAACAAAGCCAAUAGAACUUGAGCUCAUUUGAGAUGUAGCAAUGCUUGACUGAGCUGCUCUUACCGUAGAGAGUAACAAUAUAUCGACCUCUCUACUUUGGAAACUAUUCACAAUAUUCUAUUCAAUGUCAGCUAUGGUUAUGGAUCCAAAUACCUUAAGAAAACGAGACCGCAGAAGAGGAAGUUGACAUUUGUGUGGAGUAAUAAUGCCAAUUCUUCCACCAAUAAAUUCAGUUGGGUAUCUUUUCUUGAAAAACUUUAGUAUUUCAACCGCAGCAUCAGCUUCGCGUUCAUUACAAAGCGACAUUGCACCAGAGUUUCUUCAUGAGCCUCCCGACCGUCAAUAAUAUCAUAGAAUGCAUAAGGCCCAAGACCCUCGGUCUGAUGACAUGGUGCUGAUUUGCUAGACAUUUGGCUACCAUUUAGUAAUUUGUUGUCAUAGAAAUGCAACGAAGGAAACUUGCAUAUCUCUGGAUGCAUUCUAUACUGUUCUGUAAGCAUAAUAACAGGAUGCCCAGCCCUUAAGUUAGCACGCUUGGUUUCAUAGAACCUGAUAUAAUCAAUCAGUUUCUCCAUAUUCGACCGCAACACUGCUGAUGAAUCUACUCUCAAAUCAUUCUUCCCAUCUUUUGAAGGGAUCCUAUCUUCUGCUAUACAUUGACCGACAAGUGUAUCAAUAAAGAACGGGAGUGAAUUUUGAUGGACUGUUUUAGCAUUUCCAACCUUCACAAGAUAAGGCUUGUACAUUUUUCCAUUACUUCCAUAGAGACCAGGGCUAGAAAUUCUUGAUACCAAUUCAUCCACAGCGGCAUUAGAUUGAGCACUGAUAAGAGUUCUUCGUCUCGUACAGUUUUUGAAAUAUUUUUGAUGAACUCUGGCCAUCAUCAAUCAAUUUCCUACCCAUGGCUGCAUCCUGCCAUGCCCUCGCAAUGGCAACACUCUGGUAAAUCUUAGGUUAGCAACUGAUUGAACUGGAGCACCAGAAUCAUUAAAAUCAUCCUUGUUAUUUCAUCGUGUCGCAGCCACAAAAGAGGAGUUAAAUCUGAAGAUGAACUGAUGGUGGCUUUCUUGUUAUUAUAAGUAGUCCCACUGACUUGAUUAUUAGGAGGUAUUAUUUUGGCAGCACUUCUUUUCAUUGCAGCAACUUCUUUGCACCUUCUUUAAGACCAGUCACUGCGGCAUUAUAAGUUUCCACAGUUACUGCAUCUUCCUCGGCAUAUCUUACGGCUUCCCGACAUAGAUUACUGUACCUCAAUGUCAGAGACUCCUGACUAUGUAAUUCAGCCAUACGAUCAUCUGAUCCAGCACAACUUUUGGCAUUUUUUGUCCACCGUUUUAAGAUGUAAUGGGAUGGUAAUGUAAGUACAUUUGUCACAAUGAAAACAGUUAAAGUGUGCCUGCAAAGAAGGCUUGAAUACUGAACCAUUUGGCAAGUACCUUAGCUCUCAAUUCAGCAUGGUUGAAUGCAGCAGUAUAUGCCCUGUCAACGUCUUUAAAUUUUGCAACCUUGAAUGUGCUAUUUAUAUCAUCUUCUUCAAUUAUGCUUGCAGUGUAAACAAAAGUUUCAACUAGCUCUUCCUGAAACUUCAAAACUAUUUUUCUUGUAUAAAGAUUGGUAGCCUGUUUCCAUUGGUGAAGGUGUCCUCAAAACCGGCGUUGUGCAAAUUGUCUCGAAGUCUGCUUCUAUUUCCUUUUCAAUCCAGCUCUCUAAAGCUUUUUCAUAUUUCUUAAAGAACAAAGGCAAUGUCCUCUGUUGGAUGACGUAACCAUCAAAAAAGAAACACUAAAUCCUUGAUUAGGAGACAUUGCAGCAAAAAUGAAUCACGGAAGUAUGCUGGAACCCAAUGAUCACGGGCAAUACACAGUGACUGAAGCCAAUCAUUGCUUCUAAGCUCGUAUUUAUCAAGGAUAGAAUUCCAAGAUGAUUCAAACUCCUCGGUGGUUUCUGUCAGGUUAAUGAAAUUAUAAAGUUCACCUGAAAAUUUGGAUGCAAAAGACACACAUGGGCCAACUUUUCCUUGCCUUCUCUCAAGACAUGCCACUUGUUAAUACCGUGGCGAGUUUGUGGGGAAAACCUGUGAAAUUGCUGCCUGUAUGGCCCUGUUUUGAUCAGUAAUUAUUGAGACAGGCUGUCGGUCACUCAUUGCUGUGAGAAAUGCCUUAAAGAGCCACAAAAAGGAAUGCACAACCAAACGAAACCAACUAAUCAUGACUGUUUACUCCAGUAAAAGGGCAAAUGGCAUUCUAUACUGGUUAGCUCUGCAUGUGGUAUCCAGAUGAACUGCAUCACCAAAAUGACCAUAAGCUGUCCUGGAUCAAUGUUGGUUGUAUAUUCACAACAAUUUGAACAAGUGUCUGUACUAUCUGAGAAGCAGACACAAGAAGGGACAAUAUUUUAGUGACAGCAGUCUCAAGAACCAAUUGAGUAUAUGUGCCAGGAUCCUUGAAUACCAACAAUGUUGCUUUUAGUUUCAUGAGAUGACUCUCGAGGAGGAAUAGUCCGAGCAUCAUCCAACCAAGUACCCUUAUCUAUCAUCUCAGAUGCAUCAUGUGAUGUAGCAUGGGAGGACACCGUAGGAAGCCGUUGAGAAGAAGCAGCUAAGAACAUAUCCUUGAAUAAAGGCUCGUUGAAGCAGCUCUUGCCUGCAUCUUCAAAUUGAUGGUACCGCUCCAAUGUCCUUUUAACAAAUCCCAAUGCAGCUUGCUUGGCCACUUUGCUGCUGCUGGCGGCUUGCUGUUUUGAAUCCAACUUCACUUGCCGUUUUGGUUUCGGCUUUGAUUAUCACAGGGCGCUGGUUGUCAAAAUGAAAACCGAUCUACUUUCACAGGUUUCUAAUAACAGCAUACCUGUUGGUCCCUCCUCCCCACUUGUACUAAUCGCUUACUGUUUUGUUCGGGCAUAAUCGACAUGACACUGUUAAUUCAGUAUUCAGCUUCACCGCGGUAGCUUCACCAGAUUGGAUUUGAUUUGUCGGAAUAGCCUUGGUGAACCGGAUUUUGAAUUGAUUUUAGGCUUCUGUUCUGGUUACGCUGUGUACCCGAGUCUUGAUUGAAUCAACAGGAUGUUGUUAUCAGAUUUAUUCUCGAGGACAUAUUUGCAGGCUGCAUGUACAAUUAGAAGUAGCUUUUUUUCCAGAGCAGUAGUUCCUACAGUACAACCUUUGUCAUUGUCACUGCUGGUUAAGCAAAGACCUUAACAUUUAACUGUAUCCCAUUUCAAUUUCAUUAACGUUGUGAAUUGCACUAACAGUGCUACCCGAGCUGUCCGAUUCGGUUAACCACUCUUUUCUGCUAUCAAUUUAUCAUACAGGAGUAUGAGAAUUCCUAGCAUACCCGGUGCAACUCCAAAUUUCUCCACCAACUCAAGGAAGAACAAUCCCACCACAAAGUUGUGAAUCUAAUGGGUAGAGAAACAGAGAAGGCAGUGAUGAUCCAACCAACCAAUCUUUUGGAGGAUAGUACUGCAUAUUUGAUGCAAUAUUAACAACAUAAUCACUAGGAGGAAUUUUAUCCUGAUAGUGAAACUUAGUCUCACAAACUGCUGAAAGCUCUUCAAAUAUCCAUUUGCAAACGCCAGACUGUUGUAGAAGUUUAAUGUACUUGAACAACAACCCAACGAUAUCUUGCAUGUGUUCAUGGCCAGCAUAGACUCCAAACAUUUCAAAUAAUAACACAUGCAAGCUCAAUACUGAUGUCUGUAUUGGCAUUUCAUGGGGAUAUAUCCUUUUCUUCUCGCCCUCCUUAAUCUUGCGUAUAUUGGACAAAAGUUUCAUAUGCUCUUCAGGCAGGACAACUUUAACAGCCUCCAAUCCAUACUUUGUGACAAGCAUUCCCAAAAGAAGUUUGAACUUUGCUUGAAAAAUGAUUUUUGGCGAGAGCUUGCCACUUGAACAAAGACUCAACCACACUCUUCAGAUGCAUAUGCAAUCCUUCGGCUUGUGAUUUGGCUACUAAAACCUUUGACCGUUGCACUUAUCCUAUGAUCACUUUUCCCAACAAGGCCGUGAGCAACCUUGAUAAAAAAAUGAUAUAGAUUAUCUCUGCUCCCACCUCUCUCCUCGUCUCCAAAUGCAUGGGCGAUUUCAACCAGAAUGUCAUAAGCCAUAUUCCUGGUUUUUAUUGGCCUCUUCAUGUUCAGACGCAGCAUCAAGUAAGCGGGCAUUAAAUGUUAUUCCAUCUCCAGACAUCACAUUCAAUGAGGUAGAAAGAGUCGAUAACGAGCAUAACACCUCAAGUAGUGCUUCAGGAGAAACUUCUUGAACAUGAAUGAAGUAAUCGAUACAUGAAUGAGUAGGCGGGAAUUCUUGAACAUGAAUGAAAAAUUUCACAAUGUGAAUGAAGAAACAUGAAUGAAAAUUUUGAAUACGAAAUGUAGAAUUUUGAAUAUGAAAUGUAAGAUA